AAGUCGUAACAAGGUUUCCGUAGGUGAACCUGCGGAAGGAUCAUUAAAAGUAAAUAUGUAUUCUCUCGAAUAUACAUUUUCAAACCCAUCUGCGUACGAUACCCGUUGCUUCCGCGAGGCAGUGACCCCGGUCACCUCCAGACGAUGCCGAAAGGCCAUCCGACGGGGAGCACUCGUGAAAGGUAUACAUCAAACCCUUGCAAUUUCAUGCCAUCUGUCUGAACCUGUUUAUAACAAAUGUUAAAACUUUCAACAACGGAUCUCUUGGUUCUC
rnacentral:misc_RNA from 1 species